rnacentral:lncRNA from 13 species
UAUUGAUAAUAAAUAUCUUUCCAUGAGCUUAUUUAGACAUUUUUGUGUCUUUUCUUUUGAAAUGUCUUUAUAUCUCUUGUCUAAUUAUUUUUGGAUUGUUUGCCUUCUUAAUAAUGAACUGUAAGAGUUCUUUAUAUAUUCUGUGUAUUUUAAUUACCAUUCUUUUAACAGAUACACACACUAUGCAUAUUUCCUCCCAAUCUGUGGCUUACAUUUUACCAUGCUUUUUUCUUUUUCUUUCAGAGGCAAGUUCCCAUUACAUUGCCCAGGCUGGAAAGCACUGGCUGUUCACCGGCAUGAUCAUCAUGCAGUACAACCUCAAACUCCUGGACUCAAGUGAUCUUCCUGCCUCAGCCUCAGAGAAAUCACAAGCACAUCUUCAAAUCCAAACAGAAACAAGACAUGGAGGAGUUGAAAGUGGAUGA